GAUUGAAAUUUGUUCAGCGUUUUGAAGUUUAGCGUCACUUUUGCACGAGACUUGCUGUUCAGAAGACGUGGUCUGAUCCAGUGCUGGGUAAUACCAAAUUGCAGAUCAUGGAAGCAGAGGACCUGAACAACAGGAGUGACAAUAUGAACGAUUGAUGGCCUGGUGAUUCACUACUUAGGUUAUGUCUGUUUCUGUUUUUUUGAAGACUGAAGUAAAAUUAAAUUUGCUUCACAAAAAUUACAGAUAGCAACAAUUAAACAAAAGCAAAAGCAAUAAAAUUAAAACAAUGAAAUAAAAUCAACC